rnacentral:tRNA from 2 species
GCCAGAGUGGUGGAACGGUAUACACGGCGGAUUCAAAAUCCGCUGCCGCAAGGCUUAGGGGUUCGAAUCCCCUCUCUGGUACCA